UACGGGGGGCAAGCGUUGUUCGGAAUUACUGGGCGUAAAGGGUGCGUAGGCGGGUCUUUAAGUCAGGGGUGAAAUCCUGGAGCUCAACUCCAGAACUGCCUUUGAUACUGAAGAUCUUGAGUUUCGGGAGAGGUGAGUGGAACUGCGAGUGUAGAGGUGAAAUUGUAGAUAUUCGCAAGAACACCAGUGGCGAAGGCGGCUCACUGGCCCGAUACUGACGCUGAGGCACGAAAAGCGUGGGGAGCAAACAGG
rnacentral:rRNA from 1 species